ACUUUUUGUCUUUUUUCAGAAGUAGUCGAAAUAGUUCAGAUUGAAUGUUUCACUUUUUUUCACAAAUUCUGGUUUGAUCUGGUUUCUUUGUAAGUGUUUGAUCCUCUGCAGCUAGAAAAUGUUGGCAAAUGAAUGACUCCUCCCUGUAUUUUUUUAGCACAUUGGCCCCGCCCCUCAGCCUCAUUCCACCAAUCACAGCAGAGUAUGCUCUCAUAUAAAAGCUGCCGCAGAAGGGAAGGGACUUUCCAUAUCGCUCUUCUCUUCAGCAGCUUCCGGGAGAUUUCUUCUGCUUUCUGCUCUUAUAACUUAUUUUCACUAAGGUCCAGUUAAGGGUUCCCUUGGUAAAAUGUGCAUUCCAAGGGCUAAAUAUCGUGUUAUUUGGGCUCGCUUCAACCCGUGGACAUGAAAAACAACCUCCGGCAACAGUGUAAAAGUAGCCCAAUUCUGCGGGAAAACCACAGACUUGGCAACACUGUUUGGUUCAUUAAUUUACUCAUUCACUCACUCACUAUAUCACUCACACACUUUUUACUCAAUUUGAAUGUCUCCCCUCCCCGAGUUUUUAAAGUUUUAAACCAGCAGAUCAUAUAGAGAAACACUUUGUCCAUACCACCCCGUCACAGGGUCAUUUUGUUAAAAGUUUAUGGGAAGAAAAUGAAAUAUUACAUAAAUUAAUGUUGAAUGAUGUUCUUGUUGUGUGGACUAAUCAGAUAAAUGUAACUUUAUUUGUAUUUUUUAAGUGAAUUCAUUUUUUCAGUACAAACAAUGAAGCCAUUGAAACGUCAAAUUCAUAUUUCAAGAUUAAAAAUAUUAAAUUACAGACUUUCUAUUGAUGGUUUCCAAAAAAGGGACAUUUUACUAUUAGGAAGACAUUAGAUUUUAAAAAUCAAUUUCUUGUUUUACUGCUCCAUUGGCAUACAUAUUGUCCGUGACGGGGUGGUACAAGAAUGGCUUCCUUGCCUGAAUAAAAAGGAUAAUAUCAAUAAAGAUGUUGUGCCUGAGGUGGGAAAAUAUGUUUUUUUGGAGGAUUAACAUAUCUUUCAAGUUGUAGGUUCGUUUAAAAAAAGUUUGUUCUUAAUGAAAAGUUUGAAAAAUGCAAAGUGGAAAUGGCACCCGUUUCGUAGAAUGACUCAAAAACACUUCCCUCUCCCAAGGCCGAGGAGACCCAUCCAUAGGGGGUAAAGCAGGGCACGGGCAACUCGUGUCGUCCGCCGGGGAGCGUCCCUUCACGAUAAAGAGGCGGAGCUUAAGUCACAAGUCCAUUCAUAACAAUAUCAAUCCGUCUUCCGCAGCAGCCUCGUCCUUAUGCUGCGUUCAGAAGGGCCGGGCAAAAUCCCUAUAGUCAGUCGUAUCUUUGGGCAACACGUUGCGCCAGCGACCAGUGUGCCGAGGCAGGUGACACUAAAUCAAUCCCCCCUCUAACUCCAGGUUUCUGGAGGAAAGUCCUUCAGCUCACCUCGGUAAUUUCGUCCAUGGAUCCGCUUAAGGUAGCCUAUUAAAUGCAUUUGCUAAAUACGAUUUUAUUUGUCUAGAAAUAGCCCACAGUUCGAAUAUUUCGCUUUCAUAUUUCAGUAGACUUUUAAUAGAUUGUAUUGCUUGUAAUGACGUUUGGUCUUCUUUGUCUGUUUUUUGAUCCUAUUUCAUAUUUCAGAAUUUAUAUUUUCACUUUUUUUUUGUGAAUUUGGUACAGUUAUUGUUAAUAGGUAAUUUACUGUUGAAUAUAUUUUUGUUAGUCCAAGUGAAAAGACGCACAUGCAAUAAGUUUCAGACGCACGGUGGGAGAACACAAAACUUCUGAUCGUUUAUCAGCAUAAAUUGGCCCACAGUUAUAGUAUCUCUAGAAAUAAGUUGUUGAGCAAAAGGAUUAUGCUGUAUUUGAGAAAUGUGAUUCUUUGUUGACUUUGAAGAAUAAACCAUAUGAUAAAGGAAA